GAUGAAGAACGUAGCGAAAUGCGAUAAGUAAUGUGAAUUGCAGAAUUCAGUGAAUCAUCGAAUCUUUGAACGCACAUUGCGCCCCCUGGUAUUCCGGGGGGCAUGCCUGUUCGAGCGUCAUUUCACCACACAAGCCUCGCUUGGUAUUGGGCGACGCGGUCCGCCGCGCGCCUCAAAUCGACCGGCUGGGUCUUCCGUCCCCUCAGCGUUGUGGAAACUAUUCGCUAAAGGGUGCCGCGGGAGGUCACGCCGCAAAACAACCCCAUUUCUAAGGUUGACCUCGGAUCAGGUAGGGAUACCCGCUGAACUUAAGCAUAUCAAUAAGCGGAGGA
rnacentral:misc_RNA from 1 species